CCCCUAGGAAUUUUUGCUGGAGAGCUAUGAAGGCUACAUGAUUCCCCUGGGGAAAUAUGAGUGAGCAAAGGCAAACAUCAACAGGCAGGCCCCUUGAUCCAUCAGCUUAAAGCCCAUCAUUAAGUGCCUCCCACCUCUACCCCAGGAAAGUUAUCUCUCGCUGAGCUUCCAUUUGCUUCUUUAGGGUCAGGUGACUUGGGAAUGUUCUGUUCAGGAUGUGCUUCUAUCAUCUGGCACAACGCAGUGGAUGCCCUGGAGCAACCCCAGAUAACAUAGGCUCAUCUCUCCUCUGAAUCAGAGUCCUGACCUCUGUUACAGGAUGAGGAAAGACCUGAGGAUGAAAUAGUGUGACCCGGCAUCGUACAUUCCCUUUCAGUUUUCAACAUUUUCUCCUCCCUUUCCAGCCAAGUUUUACCACUUAGCAAAUAGUUAUACAUAGUGUAGGAACGAACCAUCUUU